UUGGUUUGAGUCUAGCUUAACUCUGUGGCGUUAUAGGUACAACUGGACUCUCUGCACAUCAGACAUCCUGAAUGCCAAAAUGCAACCUUUGGCAGAGGUGGAAGUCGUGGUUGUAUGUGUUUUUCCCCUGUUUCAUUGUCCUUUCACAAGCUUGAGGCAGGCAACACUAGUGUGCAUUCCAGAAUGGCACCAAGUGAGCAUUAAAGCAAGCACGGGGUCCUUCUGGGUACGUGAUCUCUGCAGUGUCCUAGGCAGUGCCUGGCACUUCCUGCUGGUCAUAAAUACCUUCCAUUUGGGUCUCCUCAGCACCUGACGGUCUCAGUCUCUCAGCUUUAGCCACUUGAUGAAUGUUUAGAGAUGUUUCCUUGUGGUAUUUAGCUACAUUUUUCUCCUGGUCAUUAGUACAGUAGGCAUUUCCCCUAUGUUUAUUCCUUCUUUGGCUUCAUUCUGUGCAUACAGCGUUACCUGGUUCUGUCUCUUGUCCAUUUUCUAUUAGCAGCUUGCUUUAGAGGAUGGGUCUGGACUUAUGAUCAUUGUUUAUAUGGUAUGGAAUGGGAACUUGUCAUAUAGAUGUGUAAAUUAAAAACAUUUUCAUUCCAUAGUUUGCUCUUCACUCUUUCACAAUGAAAUUUACUUACUAGGUGGUCCCAAUUUUAUAUAGUGUGCCAAUCUUCUUAGAUUAAAUAACAUUUUAUCCUUUUUUGGAAAUCUUUGCUUUUCUUGAAAUUAUAACGAGAUUAUUUUACAUAACUUUAGGUUUUAAUAUUUUGUCUUUCACAUUGGGGGCACGAUCUAGCUAGAAUUAUUUUUUUUCUGAAUGAGAUAUUGGUAAUUCUUUAGGUAAUAAAAAGGUAGGUUCCCAGUUCAUCUCCAGUUUGCCUUCUAUAAUAAAUACUAUUCUUGCAGCUUU
rnacentral:lncRNA from 1 species